AUCACCGCUUACUGAAACUUAGAGAUAUAAACAACUCUAGAAAUAUAGAUUCAGGCUUCAAUUCAUUUGAGUUAUGAUUUACUUGUUGUUUUUGUGGUCACUAUGCGCGUGAUUGUCCAUAGGAUCGAAGAAACUGUAAACUAGAAAUUUUCAAUGGGUUUUGAUUUCUUAGAAUAGUUAGAUUUGAAAAAUACCCUAGGAAACAGUUUCUAAAAUACAACUCAAGCGGUGAUUAGGUUAUGUUUUGGGAUAAAUUGGCAAAAUUUGAAGGUCGUCCUCCCCUUUCUGUAUAAAUGUGUUUUAAUCACAGAACAAAACUCAAGAAAUUAUAAUGUUUCCACUGUAGCAACCUUGACCACCUAGAUGCAUAGUGAUUGAAAGAUGAUACGAUGAUUCUAUCAAUAUCCAGAAGAUCGAAUAUAUUCAUCAAAAAUUUCGUAUUUGGUUUCUAUGUGAUAUAAUUAAGGAUCCCACUGGUGGUAGCCAUGAUAAGUGCCUUGUAAUAUAUUGAGUAUUUUGAAGACCUUGAUAAAAGAAGAAGGUUGUGAAGACUCAUAGUCAUCAAGUCGGUACUUGGGUUUGAAGUUGGUUCUUGAACAACAAUAAGAGUAAUAUUUUUUUUAUUUUUUGUGGAUGAUAUAACCUCUUAUAGCAUCAAGCAGGUACUUGGGUUUGAAGUUGGUUCUCUCCCAAUGAGAUAUCUCGAUCUCUCUCUCAUGUCCACUAGGUUGUUUCACCAAGACUGCAUGCCUUUGAUUGAUAAACUCAAGACUAGGAUCUUGUCUUGGAAGGAUAGAGACCUUUACUUUGCUAGAAGGGUGCUCUUGAUUAAAGCGGUGCUCAAUAGCAUGUUAAUUCAUGUUCUGUGCUUCCUAAGAAGGCCAUCAACGAAUUAAACUUCAUCUUUAGGAAGUUUCUCUGGGCAGGUAUCGACCUCACCUAUAAACAACCGUCAGUGAAAUGCUCCAAGAUCUGCCACCCAAUCAAGUAUGGAGGUUUGGGCCUUAGGUUCAUUGCUACCACCAAUGUUGAUGUAUAUCUCAAACAUAUAUGGAACAUAAUCAGCAAUAAAGAUACCAUUUGGGUAAAAUGUGUGCAUGAAAACUUAAUCAAGAAUCAAGAUCUCCGGCACAUGAAAACUCCGGUGGACUCAUCAUGGUGAUGGAGGCGUAUUUUGGAUCACAGGAGCACUGCCACUAAGUUUGUUUUCCACCUUAUAGGUGAUGGGGAUAACAAAAAGCUAUCGAAAGAUAAUUGGGUGGGUCAAGGAAAUAUUUUGCAUAUAUUUCCUCGUCACAUGAAAUAUGAUUAGAUGAAUCACAGUGAGGCAAAGGUGAGCAGUUAUCUUGUUGAUGGUGCUUGGACCUUGAAUCCUAACUUGAAGAAUGAUCUCGACAGUAUAAUAGAAGAUGUUAAAAAUGUUAAAACCGAAAAUCUUAUUGACGACAGGGUGGUGUGUACUGUAGGUAAAUCUGGUGACUUUGUGCUUCGAGAUACCUAUAAUUCUUUAAGGCAUAAAGAGACCAAAAAUAAAUGGCACAAAUUGGUGUGGUUCUCUAGUUGUGUACCUAGGCAGUGCUUCAUUGUAUGGAUGUGUGUUCAGCUUAAGCUGAAAACCAGGUUCAAGGUUCUCUUUUGGGGAAUGAAUGUCAACCCAGUUUUCAUACUUUGCAACACUAUGCUUGAAGAUGAUUUCCACAUGUUCUUUGGCUGCAGGUACUCAAUUGUCAUGUAGAAACAUCUUAUAAGACUCAUGGGACUGAAAGAAAUAAUUCUCCAUGAUUGGGAUGCUCAAAUUCUUUGGUGUGUGGUUAACAUUAAGGGUGUGAACUCAGAUGGCACUAUACAAAUCUCACCUUCAAUGCUUAUAUAUAUCAUGCAUGGGGUGAAAUAAACAGGAGUAUCUGUAAGUCCCAUAUGCUUGAUUGCAAUGAAUUUUAUGCUAUUGCUGCAAAUAUGAGAUGCAAAUCAUAUUACUAUAUGCUUAUUCACAAGGUUAUUAGUUGGAUAAAACCAGAGCCAGAGGAAGUGGCAGUUAACACCGACGGGUCAUUAUGUGAUGAAGGAGCAAGAUUUGGUGCUAUAAUUCGAAUUGAACUUGGUACUACACAAGGUGUUGUUACAGGAAGCUCGGCACCUGUGUCUAUCACUCUCCAUGAGCGUCAAGGAAUUAAGAUGGCCUCCAACUUGGGAACCAAAGAGGCUAGCCUAGAAACUCUCUCUGAUCCGACUCUAAAACAUCUUUGAGCUAUUUUAAGGAGGAUGGCAGUGAACUCCCUUGGUCCUGCCUUCGUGUAAGGGAGUCUAUAAAACGACUCAGGUGUCAGUUUGAAAAAUGUAGUCCUUUACACACUUACAAAGAAGCGAAUAGUGUUGCCGACAUGCUUGCAAGCUAUAACAUGCUGGUAAGUUCGUAGAAACCCAACCAAACUCUUUCUCCGAAGAGUUGAAGAAAAUUAUAAUGGAUGAUGCAACGGGAAAGUUUACUUUAGAUAGUAUUAAAGUGUAGGGGGUUUUCACUUGAGUCUUCUGUUGUUGUAGGUUUUCUGUUUUCUUAUCUUUAUUUUCUGUUUCGUUUGUUUGGUUGGAGUCUCCUUAACCCGCUCUCAUUUCCCCAAAAGAAAAAGGACUCAUAGUCAUGGACUGAAUGAUAACACUGGCCGUGAUCUGCAAGCUUGCCUGGUCGAAUGCUCAGCCAAGAUGGCCGUGAUCUGCAAGCUGCAAGCUUGUCGGGUCGAAUGCUCAGCCAAGAUGGUCGUGCAUGAUGAAGCUUCAUUCUUCCAAGCCGCAAGCCGGCUUAGCACGAUGAUUGGUUGUGAGCAAAAAUGUUUUUCGAGAAAUAUGAAGCUUCAUUUGCAAGCCGGCUUAGCUCGAUGCAGCUUCAUUCUUGCAAUUUGCAAGUUGGCGAAACACGAUGAAGCUUCAUUUGGGCAUGGCAUUUGCAAGAUUCGCACUUGGGGACUUGGUGAAUGUUUUUUGCUCCCCUAAUCUUAUUUGUAGAAAUGCUAAUAAGGCAUAUAUAAGUUUUCUGUUUUCUUA